ACUCCUACGGGAGGCAGCAGUGGGGAAUAUUGCACAAUGGGGAACCCUGAUGCAGCCAUGCCGCGUCGUGCUGAAGAAGGCCAUUAGCCGGGUUGGUUAAAGCAACUUUCAGCGAGGUAGGAAAGGGUGUGUGCGAUGAUGACCUAUACAUCUUGUUGACGUUACUCGCAGAAGAAGCACCGGCUAACUCCGUGCCAGCAGCCGCGGUAAUACGGAGGGUGCGAGCGUUAAUCGGAAUUACUGGGCGUAAAAGCGUGCGCAGGCGGUUUGUUAAGCGAGAUGUGAAAGCCCC
rnacentral:rRNA from 1 species